UACGGGGGGAGCAAGCGUUGUUCGGAUUUACUGGGCGUAAAGGGCGCGUAGGCGGUCAGCACAAGUCAGUUGUGAAAUCUCCGGGCUUAACUCGGAAAGGUCAACUGAUACUGUGCGACUAGAGUGCGGAAGGGGCAACUGGAAUUCUCGGUGUAGCGGUGAAAUGCGUAGAUAUCGAGAGGAACACCUGCGGCGAAGGCAGCUCGCUGGGACGUGACUGACGCUGAGACGCGAAAGCGUGGGGAGCAAACAGG
rnacentral:rRNA from 1 species